rnacentral:rRNA from 1 species
GACGAACGCUGGCGGCGUGCUUAACACAUGCAAGUCGAACGGUAAGGCUCCAGCUUGCUGGGGUACACGAGUGGCGAACGAGUGAGUAACACGUGGGUGACCUGCCCUGCACUUCGGGAUAAGCCUGGGAAACUGGGUCUAAUACCGGAUAGGACCGCACCGUGAGGGUGUGGUGGAAAGUUUUUUCGGUGUGGGAUGGGCCCGCGGCCUAUCAGCUUGUUGGUGGGGUAAUGGCCUACCAAGGCGGCGACGGGUAGCCGGCCUGAGAGGGUGGACGGCCACAUUGGGACUGAGACACGGCCCAGACUCCUACGGGAGGCAGCAGUGGGGAAUAUUGCACAAUGGGCGGAAGCCUGAUGCAGCGACGCCGCGUGGGGGAUGACGGCCUUCGGGUUGUAAACUCCUUUCACCAUCGACGAAGGGUUUCUGACGGUAGAUGGAGAAGAAGCACCGGCUAACUACGUG